rnacentral:rRNA from 1 species
UGAGUACGAGAUGCUACGGCAUCGAAGCAGUCUAUGUCAUACUUCCAAGAAAAGCUUGCACUGUCAUAAACAAAGAAUGCCUGUACCAUAACCGACACAGGUGGGUAGGUAGAGUAUACUAAGGGGCGCGAGAUAACUCUCUCUAAGGAACUCGGCAAAAUGACUCCGUAACUUCGGGAGAAGGAGUGCCUUAUUUCUAAGGUUGCAAUAACAAGAUCCAAGCAACUGUUUACCAAAAACACAGGUCUCCGCUAAGUCGUAAGACGAUGUAUGGGGGCUGACGCCUGCCCAGUGCCAGAAGGUUAAAGAAGUUGGUUAGCAUUAGCGAAGCUGAUAACUGAAGCCCUGGUGAACGGCGGCCGUAACUAUAACGGUCCUAAGGUAGCGAAAUUCCUUGUCGGGUAAGUUCCGACCCGCACGAAAGGCGUAAUGAUUUGGAUACUGUCUCGGAGAGGGGCUCGGUGAAAUAGACUUGUCUGUGAAGAUGCGGACUACCUGCACCUGGACAGAAAGACCCUAUGAAGCUUUACUGUAACUUGAGAUUGAAAUUGGACUUUAUUUGCGCAGUAUAGGUGGGAGGCGUUGAGAAUAAUCUUGCGGGAUUGUUGGAGCCAUCAGUGAGAUACCACUCUUGUAAUGUUAGAUUUCUAACUUUGUAUCAUUAUCUGGUCAAAGAACAGUUUCAGGCGGGCAGUUUGACUGGGGCGGUCGCCUCCCAAAGGGUAACGGAGGCGCACAAAGGUUUCCUCUGAACGGGUAGAAAUCGUAUCUAGAGUGUAAAGGCAUAAGGAAGCUUGACUGUGAGACCUACAAGUCGAGCAGGGACGAAAGUCGGUCUUAGUGAUCUGACGGUGCUGAGUGGAAAGGCCGUCACUCAACGGAUAAAAGUUACUCUAGGAUAACAGGCUGAUCUCCCCCAAGAGUUCACAUCGACGGGGAGGUUUGGCACCUCGAUGUCGGCUCAUCGCAUCCUGGGGCGGUAGUCCGUCCCAAGGGUUGGGCUGUUCGCCCAUGAAAGCGGUACGCGAGCUGGGUUCAGAACGUCGUGAGACAGUUCGGUCCAUAUCCGGUGUAGGCGUUAGAAUACUGAGAGGAGCCUUCUCUAGUACGAGAGGACCGAGAAGGACAUACCUCUGGUGUACCAGUUAUCGUGCCAACGGUAAACGCUGGGUAGCUAUGUAUGGAGUGGAUAACCGCUGAAAGCAUCUAAGUGGGAAGCCCACCUCAAGAUAAGUAUUCUCAU